rnacentral:rRNA from 1 species
UGAACGCUGGCGGUAGGCCUAACACAUGCAAAUCGAACGGCAGCACAGUAAGAGCUUGCUCUUACGGGUGGCGAGUGGCGGACGGGUGAGGAAUACAUCGGAAUCUACUUUUUCGUGGGGGAUAACGUAGGGAAACUUACGCUAAUACCGCAUACGACCUACGGGUGAAAGCAGGGGAUCUUCGGACCUUGCGCGAUUGAAUGAGCCGAUGUCGGAUUAGCUAGUUGGCGGGGUAAAGGCCCACCAAGGCGACGAUCCGUAGCUGGUCUGAGAGGAUGAUCAGCCACACUGGAACUGAGACACGGUCCAGACUCCUACGGGAGGCAGCAGUGGGGAAUAUUGGACAAUGGGCGCAAGCCUGAUCCAGCCAUACCGCGUGGGUGAAGAAGGCCUUCGGGUUGUAAAGCCCUUUUGUUGGGAAAGAAAAGCAGCAGGUUAAUACCCCGCUGUUCUGACGGUACCCAAAGAAUAAGCACCGGCUAACUUCGUG